rnacentral:lncRNA from 1 species
UAGCAGAAAGAAGAGCAAGGAGAAGUUGGUGAAGCUGGGGCAAAGUGAGGAUAUAUGUGCGUGCAGUUUGUGUCCAUGCUGCAGGUAUAAAGGAUGAAGUUGCAGGGCAGGAAGUCUUAUGACACUUGGACCAGCUACUCAAUGGAAAUCACAAACAGAAUGAGUUUCAUGCACAUGUCAAGACACUACUACUAACAGAGCUAUUUCAGGACGCCUAUCCUAAAUAACUAGCUGUCUCUUCCACUUAAAGCAAGAGCAUAUAAUAGAGUUAGGAUGACUGGAUACACAUGUAAGACAUCAUCUUUACAUGCUUAUUGUCACUUGGAUCUGGCAGGUUGACUAUUGAAUAGUACCCGACUGGCACUAAUAAAAUUGCUAAACUGCUGU